rfam:Myotis davidii contig23794, whole genome shotgun sequence.
UGCAUUUCUCGGGUGACACACCCUGGAAUCGGGCUCCCUCCUCUCUGGUUCUGGGGUGCAUUACCAGAGAACCGCA